GGAAAGAAUUUAUCCAAAAUAUCAAUUAUGUCCAAAACCAGGUGUCAAUAGUGUAAGAAUUACUAAUACAAUUCAAGAGUCAAAUACAUGGGAAAAAUAACCAUAAAGGAACAAUAACUGUCUCCAAAUACUAGUAAAGACAUAACUACUAUAGAAAGAUAGAGGUGAACUUCGGACGCAUGAAUGUCCAACCGCUACCUUGGAAGCUCCAACAAUCGCCCAAGUCAAUCAAGCUGAGGCGCACUCGAGCUAGGACCUACUCCGAAAGGGCGCAAUAGGCAUAGUACGGUCCACUUGUACUCAGUAGGUGUCAUAGGCUGACAAAGCAAAGUAGUAAAUAAAACAUAUAAAAUAUACAUUAAGGGCACGUCGCCUGAAAUUAGAAAAUAUCCCACAACAGUAGCCCACACCGCUUGCACUACAACAACAACAACAACAAACCCAGUAUAUUACUAGAUAGUGGGGUCUGGGGAGGGUAGAAUGUACGCAGUCCAUACCACUACAUCCGAAUAAGUAGAGAGGUUGUUUUCGAUAGACCCCUGGCUUAAGAAAAGGACCGAGACUGUGUUCAAAUAUUGCAAGAAUACAACAUGAUAAAAUAACAACAAUAUAAUAACCUCAAAUAAGUACAUGAACCAACAAAAGACACCCUCUCCCCCCAACCCUAGCCCUACCAACCAAGCUACAAGAAAUUCUUCUAACUCUAGCCUAUGACUUAACCACAUCCCUUAGCCCUCUUCCUAUCAAGGGUCAUGUCCUCCAACACCGCUUGCACUAACAGUUCUAAUAUAUCUUACAUAUAUUACAACAACACACUAAGAUACAGAACAUAAGUAUACAUUAUGUCACAUAUAAAUAAAACAAGAGAGAACAUGUAGAUACAAUAUCAUCAAAUACAAGUAAAGGAAAGUAAGACAAAUAUAUAGACGACAAAUCAAUAAGGCUAUACAACACAACAUAAACAAAAUAAAGUAAGUGCAAUGUAUAUGAUGAUGAUAAUGAUGCACGAGGUCAUUGCACAACCUAUGAUACAAGAAUGACCAAGGAAGACACAAAAAUCACACACCAAAAUAGUCCACUAGUCAAGAAACCGUGGACCUCUUUGAUGACCACACUCAGAUUCAAGAAUAACGACAAGAACACAGGAGAAUAAGGUGUUUAACACCUAUUGGAAGCCAACAAUCCCAAACUAUAUUAACAAUAGGACGAAGAACAACAACAUCAUAACAACAAGAAAAAUAUAGGUUACAAUACAAGACACUACCAAUGGUUACAACAAAAUAAAGAUAGAAAGAUAGACAAAUGGAUGGUAUAAUCCUAAGAACCCAAGAGCUUAUUACACUCUUGAACCCUUAAAACUACACACAACUAUCACCUAUCUCUUACAAUUGACACAAGAGAGGCGUCCACCAUCCAAGCACCAACGUAUCAAGCAAAAUACAACACGUAAAUGAUUCCACACUUAUGCAAUGCCCUAGUUUUGGUUGGACUCUCUCUCACUAUAAGAGAAGUGUUAUUUCAAUAAUAAUAAUCAACUAAAGAAAUAAACUCUACAAUGUUCUAUUUAUACUACAUUACAAUAAUAGAUAAAAUGACAAAAGGGCUUUUUAGUGACUAGUCUACAAAAAUACUCAAAAAGUGUCAUAAUCAUGAUCAUACUUGUAUCAUCCUCUCCAUCUUGAGAGGAAUUUGACCACAAAUUCACGGGCUCACCUCUUUUAUAAAGGCACUUUACAAUCUUCUUCUUGCGGCCACACAUCUUCUCCAUACUCUUCAAUUUGCACUUUGGCUUCUUCUCGCUCCCCAUCUUAUGGUUUGCCAUCAUUCUUAACUGAUUCAAUGCCCAUAUCUUCUCUAAGAUAGUACAAUCUACCCUCUUUUUGGAUUAUAUUCCUCCAGUUUGGGCACUCACUAGCCUUGUGCCCCCACCCUUGACACUUGAAGCAUUAAAACCCCUUGGGAUUGGAAGUAGAAUUUAAUUUACCUUCAUACAUUAGAGGAUGUUUUUGGAUAGCCUUGGUGGCCUCGGGUUGGGAAGCCAUGAAUGAGUUCUCUUUGAGCUCUCUCUCAACCUCUAAAGCCGCGUGGAAGAUGCCAUCUACGGUGAUAAAUUUGUGAAGAGUCAUGCGAGUGGAGAUGUCCUUGUUUAACCCAAACUUGAAGCACAAAAUAUAAUAACUUACUUGCUUGCCUCGAUAGUCAAGUUUCAACAUCAAUUGUUGAAAUUCAUCAUAGUAAGCCAUGACACUCUUGCUUCCUUGCCUCAAAUUGUAUAAUUUGGCAAGGAGCUCAUGCCUAUAAGUUUUGGGCAAGUACCUUUGCCGCAUAAGGUUCUUCAGCCGAAACCAAGGAGGAGGUUAUCCCUCAAUCAUCUCAUUCCCAAACCGUUUAACAUACUCCCACCAUGUAUUAGCAUACCCUUCGAAGUGAGCUAUAGCAUAACAACUUUUCUUUUCUUCGGUAAGAUCAUUAAGUUGGAAGAUCUUGUCACAAGAUGACUCCCAUGCAACGUAGGCUUCGGGAUCACACUCACCUUUGAAAAUGGGAAGACUCACUUUGAUAGAAUUGAGACCUACAUCUUAGUUUGGGUGGACAUCUCUCACCUCUCAGCCUAACUCUUCAUGUCCACCCCUUAUUCUUUCUUCCCUCAAGUAAAUAUCAUCUUAAGGCCUAUAACCAUUAUGUUGUCCUCCCCUACCAUAGCCCUCAAUAUGUAUGGGUUUAUUUAGGUUAAGUGGAGUUUAUAGUGGCGGGAUUGAAUUUGGAUAGUGAGGUUUUUGGUCAAGUGGAGUUUGGAUGAGAGGGUUCGGGUUUGGUGGUGGUAUUUGGAUUUCAAGCCCGUCUUGUUAGACUUGGUGGAGUGGAGGAUGGUUUGGUCUAUCUUAUUCUCGGCUUUAGGAAUAAAAAUUGGUUGGAUUUGUGGCAAUUGGUAGAUAUAGUAUUUGGUGCAAGGUCUCGGGAGUAUUAGUUGGGGAAUUAUUUUGAGGGGUGGAAGGUCGACUCUUUUGGCUUUCCAUAUGUUCUAAUCUCUCACUCAUUGAUGCCAUAUUCGUAUCUAAUUUCUCAAGACCCACAUUCAACCUAGCCACAUCUCGAGACAUAGUUUCAAGGCAAUCCAAAAUGAGAUUGAUGGCAUUAUUGUCCAUUGUUUGAGCAUUUGAUGCCUCGGGUUCCAUUGUAGUUGUACCAAAAAUAACACUUCAAGUUAUGGUCCAACAAGACACCCAAUCAGUCCACAACGCCAUACAAUAAUACAACACAAAUCCUACAAAACAAAACAUACGUUAGUUUAAAACAACCUCCCAUAAUGAGAUCCCACCUUCAAGUUUCUUUAAACUCAAGCUCAACAAUGGUGGAUGGCUCAAAUCACCUCCAAUUUAGCUCAAAUUCGAAUCCUAUACUUCUAUAGUGUUAGAGAACACAAAUCUAACACUUAAAACACAAGAAAAACACAAAAUCAAAAACUCAAAAUUUGACCUAGGAUCAAAAACGGAUUUAGUAUUUUUUUUGGAGAUUUUUUAUUUUGACACUUCUUUUUUGUUGAAAUUUUUAAUUUCUAGACUCUAAUAGUGUUAGGGAACAAGGAUCUAACACUAGAAACACACAAAAAUCAAGUCUCAAAAAUUUAAAAACCCUAAAAGCGUGAAUAAUAACUUUUUUCUUCUUUUUUACUUCUUUUUUUAUUUUCAAGAUAACAAUCCCAAGAUUGAUUUUGUUGGAACAAAAUCAAACCUUGCUCUGAUACCAAAUAAUACGAGAAUGACCAAGGAAGACAUAAAAACCACACACCAAAACAGUCCACUAGUCAAGAAAUCGUGGACCUCUUUGAUGACCACACUCAGAUUUAAGAACAACGACAAGAACACAAGAGAAUAAGGUGUUUAACACCUAUUGGCAGCCAACAAUCCCAAACUAUAUUAAUAAUAAUAGGAUGAAGAACAACAACAUUAUAACAACAAGAACAAUAUAGGUUACAAUACAAGACACUAUCAACGUCUACAACAAAAUAAAGAUGGAAAGAUAGAUAAAUGGAUGGUAUAAUCCUAAGAACCCAAGAGCUUAUUCCACUCUUGAACCCUUAACACUACACACAACUAUCACCUAUAUCUUACAAUUGACACAAGAGAGACGUCCACCACCCAAGUGCCAAUGUAUCUAGCAAAAUACAACACAUAAAUGAUUCCACACUUGUGCAAUGCCCUAGUUUCGGUUGGACUCUCUCUCACUCUAAGAGAAGUGUUAUUUCAAUAAUAAUAAUCAACUAAAGAAAUAAACCCUACAAUUUUCUAUUUAUACUACAUUACAAUAAUAGACCAAAUGACAAAAGGGCCCUUUAGUGACUAGUCUACAAUAAUACUCAAAAAGUGUCAUGAUCAUGAUCAUACUUGUAUCAACCUCCGAGAUCAUCGCACAAUCCCCGUAUAUACCUACGGAGCUAAAGCUUCUCGACGUAGUACCUAUGGGUGGUUCGUCAACCCAUUACAAUCCACAUAUCUCAUAUCUCCUUUUUGGUGCAUACCUCAGAAAUGGUUUUAUAAGGUGUUACAAUAUCUUUUAAAAAGGUGUUGCCAAUGUUUUUCAGAUGUUGCCACGGUGGUACCAAUGUUUCAUGAAUGAGUAUGAGAUAAAGAUGUAAUGCUCAUAACCAAUCAUAACAAGUAUUUCCACAACUAACCACAUGGUAUAUUUCCACAACCAACCACAAUGAUACAUUGCCAUAACCACAUAAGCCUAUUAUCCACUUAUUAUUUUUGUUUCAUCCAUGAAUUUCCACAUGUCUCAUAUAUCAAUUAGGUAUGAAUAUAAACACAAUACACCAACGGUACCAUAUUAAUCAUUUUAACAACACAAUAUAAUUAUUCACAUAUAUUCAAGGCUAUCCAUAUCACAUAUGACCCCACACGGUCACACAUAUCAUAUAAUAAUUCAAUUUCAAAAAUUACAUCACAUAUAGGCCCCCACACGGGCACAACACAUAAAUAGUCACUUUUCAAGAUUUUCUAGCCUUAACAUGCAUUCUGUAUCAUCAUUUACUACCUAGCCCAGUCUGAAAGAGUUAAGCCAUAACCUACCUCGAAAGCUGAAACCGAUUUGAUACACUUGAACCUGCGAUAUUACUUUUCACGAAUAAUCUCGAACUCCACUAAAAAUAUUAAAUAUGAAAUCUACGCAUCAAGACAAAACCAACGACACCCAUAUUGACUACUUUUGAUUUGGGGUCAAAGUGAACCCCCAAAGCGAAUUUCUAAAAAAGAAGGGUAAAAUUGGAAUUUUACUCCAAAAAUAUGUUUCCAUAUUUUUAGGGACCUACAUCUGAAAACUUAAGUUAAAUAGAGUAAAAAAUAGGGUUCAAAUUAAAGAAAAACUAUUUUUGAGAUUUACCGAGUAAAAUCUUUAAAAUCCGAGUUAAAAUCAAGAAUCGGAGUUGUUUUGAAGGUUAAAUUGAUGAAAAAUUAGUAAUUAUAAGAUAAAAAUAUUAUUCAAGUGAAAAGGAGUGAAAUUUGAGUUUAAAAUCAUGCCCUAAGAUUUUUAGAAUUUUGAGAAAUUAAUCAAGAAAUUACUAAGAAAAGAAUGAAUUCUUAACUUUAAUCCGUAAUAAAACCAAGAAAAAAAUGUUAAUCCAGCUUUUCUCAAUCUCUCACAAACUUUACUUUUAAGCUCACACACUAUUUUAGGGUUUAACUCCCAAGAUUAGAGCUGUGCAAAUCUUGGUACAAACCGUUAACCCAAAUCGUUAAUUUAUUUAUCGGGUUAACGGGUCAGUUAUUUUAAAUAGCGGGUCGGGUGUCGGGUUGAUAAUUUCUGUUAUUGGUUUAUUGGUUCGGGCCACGGUUUAAUUAUUUUUUAUCGGGCUACCGUUAACCCGAUAAAAUAAGGGUAAAAUUCUCAAGUAGCAUACUUAAGAGCCUAAUUACUAGUUUUAUAGCAACAGUUUCAUAAUUACAUUUUAUAGAAACUUUUAUUUUGUAUUUUUAAAAAAUGUUGCUGUAAAAAUACAUCUACAAAAAAAUUACUGCACUUAAUUAACUGAAAUUAGUUGAGCUAUAUAUGGUAUAAUUACCAAUCAAGUAAAUAUGUUGAUUACUUUUCUAUUUAAAACACUUAAAAAACGUGACAUCCGUUAUAAUCAAAUAAUUCAAAUUUCAGUUUUUCACCAUUAAUAACUGCAUAUUUUUUUUCAAUUUCUUCUAAACCAACCCUGUAUUGCUUAAUCAAAUUGAACUGAUUCUUAUACGAAAUUAACAGAAAUUGCAAAACGAAUCAGUUAUUCGAUUGAAUCAAAUUCAAUUGUUGAUUCAUCUGUUAUAUUUGUUUGAAUUCAACUAUCAGUUGAAAAUUCAACCAUUACUGUUGUUCAAGGUACAUAACCAUUAUUGCUAUUCAGUUCACUUUUUUUUUUACCAUUACUGAUGUGCACCAUUAUUGCUAUUCAGUUCAUUUUUUUUACCAUUACUAAUGUGCUUAUCAAGUUUUGGUUGUCGUCGUUAAUUUGUAUGUGAAAAAAUUGUAAAACAAAUUAUAGUUAUAAUCAAGACAACAGUAAAAUUGGAAUUCAAGUAUCUGUUACAAAUUUCAUCUUUAAAGUUGUUUCAAUGGAAAAAAAAUAUCAGUAUUCGACUCUAUUUUUGAUGAUCGUUUGUUGUUAUAUUGAUUGUUUUAACAAUAGAAUAAUUGUAAACAACUUUCAAAUUGAAAUACAUUCAAUUUUUUUUUGAAACACUAGAUAAUUGAUUGAACGAAUGUUUCUGUUGAAGUUGACAUUAUUCUAUGAACCCAGAUAAAAGUAUAAAAUAUCUUCAUCCAUAUGUAUUUUUGAUGUGUUUAAUGAUAACACUGCAUAUGUAUUUUUGAUAUUGUUAAUGGUAAUGGUGCAUAUGCAUUUUUUGUUUUGUUGUAGGAAUUUUGAUAUAUAAAUGUAUAUUUGCAAAAAUAUUUUAGUUUAAGGUAAUCUUGUGUGUAUGUAUUUUUUUAAUUGAGAUGUUGGUUGUGUAUCUUUGUUUGCACGUAAAUCUAAAAAGUGCGUGUUAUAAGAAGGGAUAUUUGACAAAUUGGUAUGUAACAUAUCAAAUUACAAAUUAGUUAUGCUCCAGAUGUAUUUUUUUGAUAUGCUUAGUUUUAGCAAUGCAUAUGUAUUUUAUAUGCGAUAUAUGUAAAUACUGCAUAUGUAUUUUUGUUUUGCUUGUGGGAAUUUGAGAGUAUAAGUUAAUAUGAUAAUAUGUUUGGUGCCUGUUUUACUUCUGUUUGAUCAAAUAGUUUGUGUAUUUUGUAUUUUAGAAAUGGGAAGCAUACCAGUCCUUGUGAAGCACUCUGGUCGAUGGACGUAUGAAAAGAACUUCGAAGAAUAUGUCACUGAUGCUAUACUGUUAAGCACAUCAGCCACAUUCGUUGAGCUGCAGGAUGUUUUGGCAUCUCACUUAAGUGUGGAUUUAACCAUCAAACGUAUUCUAGUGGAAUAUCAAAUCACUCCUAAUGUAGGGAAGAUAGAAAUACAUAAUGAUAUGGGUUUAAAAGUGUUUAUAUUGCAGAAAAAGUUGAUACAAGACAUGAAUUAUCUUCCUUUAUAUGUAAGCAUUUUGGAUAAAGUUGUAGGGAGCAACUUGGCAAGUUCAUCUAUAUGUGUUGCUGAAAGAGGAAUCAACUGUAACAACUUGAAAACAGUGAUAAAUACAAUAAAUGAAGGAGUUUUGGCGGUUUGUGAAAAUACAGAAGCUUUAGAUGUUUUUAAGAUGGAUCCUGUUGAGGUGAUUAUCUCAGAUCCACAUCAUAAGCAUGUUAAGGAAGACCAGGUUUACUUGAAAAAAAGAAUUUUAAAGUCAGUCAUGAAGGACUAUUUUCGUUGUUGAUUUUGUUCCUGAUACAUUUGAUUAUGAAGAACCCAAUUUUGCAAAGUUGAGUAUUAUUCAGAUGAGUUUUGUCGAUGACUUACUACUAUUUUGUAAAGGAAAUACAAUAUCUUCUUGUCUGUUAUAUGAGUGUUUCAAGGAAUUUUCUGCAGCUUUAUUAGUAGCAAAUCAAGCAAAGAGCAACAUCUACUUUGGUGGGGUGGCUGACAACAUUCAACAAGAAAUACUUCAUAAACUAGGUUUCUCUCUUGGCCAUAUUCCAUUUAUGGAAUCUAAGCACAAAGAAUGACAGAUUGUGGAUAAGAUGGGUGGAUGCAUAUUACUUAAAGGGCAGAAAACCAUAGGAGGUAGCAACUAAGCAGGCGUCCUGGAUAGUCCAAAAAAUAAUGACAGCAGGUAGGUGGCUUGAAGGAACUAGAAUGGAUAUUGAAGACAUCAUGAUAGCUGAGUCUUUCUCAAUCAAAAGCCUAUAUACCAAACUAAGGGGUCAAUACCCCAAAGUCGAACGGAGGAAGCCUAUCUGCAACAACAAAGGGAGCAACAAAUGGAAGUUCAUCUACUAUCUUGCAAUCAAUAAGUGACUCUAUAUAAAAGAUAGAUUUGAUAAGUGGGGCAUUCAUAUGAAUCGGGUGUGUGGACUGUGUGAAGAGGAACCUAAGGACCAUAAUCACCUUUUCUUCAUUUGUCGUGUAUCUACAGGUAUAUAGUAGAAGGUGCUACAAUAGCAAGCAAUCCCCAGAGGCAACAUGGGGUAAAAAGAUGAGCUAAGAUGUGCUACAAUUCAUGCAAAAGGCAAGAGUGCAACAAGUGAGAUUUUUUGAAUGAGUCUGGCAGCCACUGUAUAUCAUAUAUGGUUGGAGAUGAAUCAAAGAAACUUUCAGCAAAAGAAGAAGGCACCUGAGGUACUAGUGAGGAUGAUCAUCCAGGAAAUACACUAUAGAGCAAGCUUGUAUCCAAAACUAAUAGGCAGCAUGAUUAAAUAUAACUUUUAUCCCUAAAUAUGUGAAGUUUCUAAAGUAAUUGUGUGAGUUGUACAGCCUGAGGUUGGGACGAUGUCCAACCCAGACUUGAACUUUGAUCAGAUUGCUAUAUAAGGUAAUAAAAUCCAGUUACCCAAAAAAACUCAUAUAAAUUGAAACAAAUGUAGUAAUUUAUAUUUUGAUAAUUCUAAAAGCAUAAUUUAUAUUCAAAAUUAGUUGUUUUUGUUAGGGUCGAAAUGAUAGGGUGUCAUUCGGAAUCUAAUAAUUUGCAAAACAUUAGACGAUAAAUCAGACGACAAAGAAGUCAUACUAAAAACAUAAUUAUUAUAUGAUUUAGCCAAUUGGCCUGCAUAUGAAAACCUAAUAUAAAAGAAAGCAUAAAAACUAUUAGAGGAAACCUUUCUCUAAACAAAACUCUUAAACGACUACAUUGUGGAUGCUAUUAUGUUAUGGUAUAAGAAGGAGGUUUUCUAUUUAUAGAGUUCCAAACUUUUGUAAUAUCCCAUAUUUUCCUAGCUUAGUUUAGCUUUCAAUAAACAAGAAUUUCUAUAUAAAAUUUUUAAUACACUUAGAAUUUUUUAGUUUAAGACUUACCAAAGUGUAGAAAAUUUAGUCAGCUUUCCAACAAUAUAAAGUUCGUCCAAAUUUGAUAUCCGGCUGAGAAGUUAUGGCCCUUUUAGUAAAACAGUAUGUCAAAUUAAGCAUCAUAGCGUCGCGGAGAGGCCAAAAGCAUUCGACAGUUUCCAGUGAGACAUCGCGAUUCCAACACAUCGUGGUGAAGUCCCAGUUCCCAAUUGGCUUUUUCUAGUGUGUCAACGCAAUAAUGGCGCGUCGCGCCAGAGUGUUAUUUCGCAACUGUCACUUUCUAGUAAGGCUCCGUGAUACCUCCGUGUCAUGCCAAAGUGCAUUUUCGCACUCGUCCUUGGACUGCACUAGCUGACAAAAUCCAGUGUGAAAGCCAAAAUUGGGAUUUUCAAUGAUGGAAAUUUAAUUUUUUAUAGGAAUUUGGUCUUUUUCCAUGGCCCUAAUCAGUCUAAACACGAGAUUAAACCCCUAAUAACCUUGUUAAGUCACUAUUCUAUUCAAUUUCCCCUAAAAUCAAGAGCACUCUCUCAAUUAACAAAAUCCUAGCCUUCAAGAAUCAAGAGCAAUCCUCAAGAAUUCCACCAAGAAACUUCAAAAACUCAUCUUUCCAGGUAUGUUAGGUGUUCAUUCAUGGGCCCUUACCACUCAUGGAGUCCAAGAACCCUAUUUAAAAAUACAAGUUUUCAGAUUUAUGAUUUUCAUGCCUAAAUUUGAUUGUAUUUAUGAUUAUGAUGUUGUUUGGGUUUCAAUCCAUGAUUAAUUACAAGUAUCAUGAAAUUAAGAUAGCAUGUGUGGUGAAUUAUGUGAUUCUCAUGUUAAAUCCUUAAAUUUAUAAGUUGAAUGUUGUAGCUAUGAUAUUUAUAUAUGUUUAUUAUUAUGUGAAAUAAUCAUGCUCCCCAAGUGUUUGUUAGAAUGCCUAUGUGAAUUGAAUAGUGCAAUCAUGACAAGUUAGCAUGUGUUCCCAUUCUUGUACAAGUUCAUGCCUUGCAAGUGUUUGACAAAAUAUCUCAAUGAAUAAAUCAUGACUAAGUGACUAGCUAGUAUGCUUUCAAGAUUGUGCCAUGUCUUACUAUUGAUGCUAUCGAGUCCUGGGGGUAUUUAAUACCCAAAAUCUAGUUGUUUACCUAAAAUUACAAUAGCUAUAGAAUAGUCCCAUUAACGUCAUGAAUAGUAGUACUCAUUCAGUUUCAGAAUUCAGUGAACUCAGUCUAGUUCAGUUCAAUUUAAUAAUCAAUGUCAUUCAGUUAGGAGUAGGAUUCAGCACCGAGCGAACCUAAGGAUGGGGGCUCACCUGUCAGUAGAGGGUGUGACCCUUAGUAGUAGCUCUUAGGUUCCAGAACUAUGUAGCCAGCGUAGGUUGAGAUAUUAACCUGUCAAUUGAGGGUUGAUAAGGUAUUUUACCUACCAGUUGAUGGUAAUACCGUUCUCAUUAAGGCACCUGCCAGAUGAGGGUGACUCUGUAGCCUGUUAGUACCCGUGACACGGUACUGAACCCUUCCAACUGGAGUUACAGGUUGGACCCCAAUCAAUUUAGAAAGGGGCAUGUCGGCUAGAUGAUUACCUUCCAUAGUUUCAGUUUCAGUCUCAGCAUAGAACUCAGUUCAGUUCUACAAAAUCAGUACUGUCAAAAAUAGUCACUCAGUUAUCAGUAAUUCAGUUGUCAGUAAUCUCGGAGAUUAGUUACUCAGUUAUCAAAACUCAGUACUCAGUUUUAGUAUAAAUCUCAGACACAGUAUGUAUGUAUAUGCACAAUAAUGCAUAAUCGGUGUUUAGGCUUGAUAUUUUGAUACCGGGGCGUGUUUUAGCAUUUGUGGAUGCUAGAUCUUCUUUGAUGGAGCAGAUUUGAACUCAUUGGUUUAAUGGUGUUAGAUUGAGGUUGAUUCAAGAUAAAGUAUUGAGUGGGGAGAAUAAGGAAGCCUCACUUGAUUCAGAUGCAGUUUUAAGGAUUAGGGGCUGAGUUUGUAUGCCGAGAGUGGUGAUUGGUUAGGUUGAUCUUGCAGGAGGCCCAUUGUUCAAGAUAUUCUAUUCAUCCAGGUGUGACUAAGAUGUAUCGUGAUUUCAGACAACACUACUAGUGGGGUGGUAUGAGGCAAGAUACAGAGGAUUUUUUACCUCGUUGCCAUUAUUGCUAGUAGGUGAAGUCCGAGCAUAUGAGACCUGGUGAGUUGUUUUAGAGGUUACCCAUUCUCGAGUGGGAGUGGGAAUGGAUCACUAUGGACUUUGUGACUGGUUUUCCUCAUACAUCUCAUAGUUCUAACAGUGUUUGGGUCAUCAUUGAUACCAAAUAGUCCACAAGUGACCCGUAAUGACCCACAACAAGAAAGACACUAAACACACAAGGAAGCAAGCACAAACUUAACGAUAACGAAGAUAGAUAACUUGACACAAGGAGAACAUGAAGAGUAGUAACUAAAGAGUAUAUUAAACUCUAAAACCCUUACAAAACACGUUAACAAGAACCAAGUUCUUAUGUGAUCGCCAAGGGAAUCAACUCACCUCAAGAUCCACCAUUUCCAAGCAAAGAACAAUAUUGGAUUUUCCAAGCCCUAAACUACAAUGGUUAAUCCAAACCCAAACUAAGAACUACACUAAGGUGGUAAUUCUCAAGAGAGAGGAUUUUCAAUGUUUCAUACAGUCUUCAUUCAUAAACUAAUAAGAGAAGACCUAAAAUGUCCUAUUUAUAGUAUAUUACAAAAAGAGACAAAAUGACUGUACUACCCUUAAUGAUAGAGGUGGCCAUGGAGUGCAUUUUGGGAAAAGUGAAGUGACCAAAAUGUCCUCAAUGAAGAUGACUCCAAAACCGUGAGCCAUUGAGUGUCCAAAUCCAUGAGUCCUCAAGUCUUCAAUGCUCCAAGCAAUCUUUCACUCAUUACCUUGAUGUAUGGUAUGCUCAAUGGUAUACUCAAAAUGGCUCUUCCAUGCAUGUUUUCGUAUCCUCGAGGUGAUCAAGUCUUGAGCUUCUAUGUGUUGGCCUCCAAAGUUGUCAUCAAAAGAUAAUAUGACCAUUUGUCCCGUAUCAUCCUCCCCUUCUUGAAAAGGAUUUGACCUCGAAUCCAUACCUUGCAAAAUCGACUAGAGGACAAACAAAUACAAAGUCCUCAUAGUACGAGGGUUAGGGUUGGCACAACAAAUCAUCUCAACAUGCCAAGGUUGCACAUAUUUAUAAUAUAACCAAGGAUUCUUUGAAUAAAAUAUUAAAAACUUAAUGAAAUAUGUACGAAAGAUUUGGUUAUGGGAUUCACUAAGAGUGACACUUUGCUUGUCAUGUAGACCAAGCAACAAGUUGGGUGCACCAACAUCACCAUUUCUAUAUUUGGCACCGGGGUCAAAUAGGAAGAGUGGCCAUAGACACGGGUCUAGAAAACACUCUCCUUUCCUGUGGUAUCCACCCAAACUAAAUGACAUACUCUUUAUAAUAGCAUACAUAUCAUCCAAAACAAAUAGAGAGUAGAGAAAAGUAUCACUUAAUCGACUUCUAAUAAGGUGCCCUCAAGUGUGUGCUCACUACUAGUUUCUCAAUCAUCACCAUGAGUACUCUCAACAAUAAAGUCACACAAAGUAGAAGAAGGAGUAAUUUCUAAGACUAUAAAUUCCUCACUCUUAAGAGUACUCUCAUCUUCUAAGAAGAGAUUUCCAUCUUUAGGAGGAAUGUUGUCACACCAUAGUGGGUUAACAUAUAGGCUAUAGCCUCCAAGGUAAGCUAUACCAUAUUUUUCACCACUAGGCUCAUUAGGAGUAUCGAUAUCAUCUUCAAAUAAGACAUUAUACCUAAAGAGUGCAUGAUCCAACCCACGGGAAGAUUUGGAACAAGCAAGUUCCUCACUCUCUAAAAGAUCAAUAUCAAGUUUUAAAGAGGUUUCAAGCAUAAUAUUGUCCCAAGAAUGGAUCUCGGGUUCACUCCUAUUUUGUUGACCAAUAUUUUUAAGUAUUUCACUCACUUGAGUUCUAUUAAUUACAUCACACACAUACUCAAGUGGUGGACAAGUUUCACAAAUAAGUUGGUCAACAUAAUUUUCACACAAUGAUGUACUUGUAUUCAAGGCAAUAGCUUCAACACUAGGUGGACACAAGUCAAUCUUACAAAAAGAGUCAACUCGGUCAUCUAUAGGAUAAAAUAGUGUAUCCAAUCGCACAACAUGUACAUCAUCCACAAGUGGAAAAAAAUCAAUAUACUCACUUGUAGGUAUGCUAUUACUCGCACUCAACUGCUUAUUAGCCACAUGAUCAUCAUCACAUACUCCAAGGUGUAAGGGUUAGCUAUUUUACCUUGACGUUCAUGAGUAUGUUUGUCUUUACCUCGAUGUGAAAGUCCGUCACAAUCUUGGGCAGAAACUUCAUUCAGGAAGAUCUUAUCGCAAGUUGUUUGGACAAUUGGAUUUUGAGGGAAGAAUUUGGGUAACAAUUGGCGUAUAAUUUCAAUGUGCCAUUUCAUAUCUUCUAGAUCCUCAUUGAUGUGAUCACAUGUGGCUUUGAAAUUAUGGGAAGCCAUGGUACCUAACAAAAAAAAGACAACAACAAACAAAAGAAAACAAAUAAUAUUAGUAGUAAAAUCUCCUUACCAACACUCAUAUACACUCACUUUUGUGAUUCUCACAAUUGGAGCGAUGAAUAUUGAAAGUUGCUUAUACUCCGAUAGUCAAUAAGAUGCCAAUCAUACUUGACGGACGGAAUGGAUUCUUAUUUUGAUUGACUUAAGAAACAAAAUAAAAUUUACUUACAAACUUGAAACAAAAAGUUAUUAUGAGUUAAAAAUGAGAAAAGCACAAAACAACGCUAACACCAAGAACAUACUAAAAAACUAAUUUACAACUUUGUAGGUAUUUACUAGUUGCCAAUUAGUAUAAGAAUAAAAAAAAUGAAACUAAGAAUCAACAACAAAAACUAAGAAUCCAAGAUUUUAAACCUUAAGUUUCGAUAUUGUACGGAAAUUAGUGAUGUGGCGGUCUAGGAUUGGUUGCAAUUUUUGAAAGGUUCUUAUUUUUCUAACUUUAAAAUUUUGGUUAAAUUUUCAAUUCUUGAAGAAGUGUAUUCUGGCCUUGGGGAAGAAAAACAUCAAGAUUGGAUCCCUUUUCCACAUUCAAAAAGGUUUGAAUUGUCUUACACCUUUUGGGCAAGACACCUUUUUAAAGGGUUGGUGGCCCUUUUCUUUUUUAGACACCUAGAAAAGUGUUCUUUCCCUCUUUUGGUACCAAGUCUUUUGUAGAUAUUUUUGUCUCCCUUCCUUUUUGGUAGGUCUUUGGGAUUUUUUUUCUAGACUAAAAAAGGCCUCACUUCUUUCUACUUGGCUUUUGGAUCAAACAAUACUAUUGAAGAGCUUUUUUUCAACUAGACAUGAAGAUAGUCUAGAACAACAAGAACUUUCAAUAGAAGUUUGAAAACCUAGCCUCACGUUGAACAUCUAAUAAUAAACAACACCUUAUUUAAGCUUAAAAACCACAACAAAAUACCAACAAUACGAGCUCAAACCAAAACUUCAAGUUUUGGUCCACACAACAACACCAACAAUGUUCAAGUUCUUGAAACCGUAACAACAACACCAACAACAAUGUUCAAGCUCAAAUUGGAUCUAGACUCAAGGGUGUUAGUGAAAACAAAACUAACACUUAGAAACAACUAAGAAAAGCAAAACACACCUAGAUCUAGACACAAAUCUCGAUCAAAACAACAACAAGAAGAACAUAAUUUCGGCCAAGAACACAAAAAAUGGACAGAUUUGCCUCUUUUUGAUUUUUUAGUUUUCUAACACUUUUUUUAUUUUAAGUUUAUGAGCCCAAGAUUAAUCUUGUGAGAAAAAUAUCAAGCCAUGCUCUGAUACCAAAUGAUACCACACAGUAUCUACAAGCUCAAAAUAGUCCACAAGUGACCCGUAAUGAUGCGCAAUAUGCAAGAGACAAAACACACAAAGAAGCAAGCACAAACUUAACGAUAAAGAAGAUAGAUAACUUGAAACAAGGAGAACAUGAAGAGUAGUAACUAAAGAGUAUAUUAAACUCUAAAACCCCUACAAAACACGUUAAUAAGCACCAAGUUCUAACGAUGACCGCCAAGGGAAUCAACUCAUCUCAAGAUCCGCCGUUUCUAAGCAAAGAACAAUGUUGGAUUUUCCAAGCCCUAAACUACAAUGGCUAAUCCAAACCCUAACUAAGAACUACACUAAGGUGGUCUACUCUCAAGAGAGAGGAUUUUCAAUAUCUCAUACAUUUAUCAUUCAUAAACUAAUAAGAGAAGACCUAAAAUAUCCUAUUUAUAGCAUAUUACAAAAGGAGACAAAAUGACUACACUACCCUUAAUGAUAAGGGUGUCCAUGGAGUGCAUUUUGGGCAAAGUGAAGUAACCAAAAUGUCCUCAAUGAAGAUGACUCCAAAACCGUAAGCCAUUAAGUGUCCAAAUCCAUGAGUCCUCAAGUCUUUAAUGCUCCAAGCAAUCUUCUACUCAUGUCCUUGAUGUAUGGUAUGCUUAAAAUGGCUCCUCCAUGCAUGUUCUCAUAUUUUCGAGGUGACCAAGUCUUGAGUCUCUAUGUGUUGGCCUCAAAAGUUAUCAUCGAAAGAUAAGAUUGUCAUUUGUCCCAUAUCAAUCAUGGAUUGAUUGACCAAGUCAGCUUAUUUUAUUCUAGUUCAGGUCUCAUUCAGUGCUGAGAGGUUAGCCCAUAUCUUCAUUCAUGAGAUUAUGCCUUUGCAUGGUGCGUCGGUGUCCAUCAUUUCAGAUUGAAGUUUUAUGUUCACAUCUCACUUUUGGAAGACUUUUUAGGAUGAGUUAGGUACUCAGGUUGAUCUUAGCAUAACAUUUUACCCCCAGACUAAUUUUCAGUCAGAGUGGAAUAUCCAAGUUUUGGAAGAUAUGCUUCACGCAUGUGCGAUGGAUUUUGGUGGUCAGUGGGAGAAGCAUUUGGCCUUAGCAGAGUUUGCAUAUAGUAAUAGCUACCAUUCCAGUAUUGAUAUGGCUCCUUUUGAGGUGUUGUAUGGUAGGAAUUUUUCGCUCCCUAAUAGGUUGGUUCGAUGUUUCAUAGGUAAGACCUCGAGGUGCGUACUUGCUUAGUGAGUCGUUAGAUAGAAUCUGGGUCAUUCAGGAUAGACUUAGAUUAACUUAAAAUAGACAGAAGUGUUAUUCUAAUCGUAUACUUUGUUCCUUGAGAUUUGGUGUUGGUGAUCGUGUUUUUCUUCGAGUUUGCCCAUGAAGGGUGUGAUUAGAUUUGGGAAGAGGGACAAGCUUAGCCCUAGGUAUAUUGGUCCAUUUGAGAUUUUUUGGAUUGUUGGUGAUAUGGAUUAUGAGUUAGCUUUGCCUCUUGAUCUAUCCGUUGUUCAUCCAUUUUGUCAUGUUUCUAUGCUUCGUCCUUAUAUCCCAGAUAAGUCUCAUAUCAUUCAUUGGGAGUCGAUUCAGUUAUAUGAGUGGUUGUCCUUUGUUGAGGAGUCAGUUUCCAUUUUGGCUAGGGAUGUUAAGUGGUUUCGCUCUAGAGUGAUCCUUGUGGUUAAGGUCCAGUGGUGACAUCAACCUGUAGAUGAAGCUACUUGGGAGGUCGAGUCUGAUAUAUGUAGUUCUUAUCCCCAACUUUUUGUUGAUUAGGUAUUUUUUUGCCUUAGUUUGAGGACAAACUAGAUUUUUAGUGGUGGAUGAUGUAACGACCUAAAAAUUUGAUAAAAUAUGUGAAAUUUGUGAUUUUAUAUGAUUUGACUAUUUUACCCCCUCCCCAUAGUUGCAUUAUGAUAUUUCUAGGGUGUGGGAGUGAUUGACAUCAUUUUUGAUGCAUUUUGGUAUCAUUUAUGCAAUAUUGUGAUUUUUAUAGCCUCGAGAGCCUUAUUUGGACUUAUCCGGAUAUCUUUUGAUCCAUGCGACGGGUGGCUGAACAGACUACUCUAGCAACUCUGGAAUAUCAAUUUUAGGCUAGGUAGACCUUUGGUUUAGGUCCCGGUGCACCCGAGCUCAUUUCGACCUAUUGGUCGAAAAGUUGGAAAAUUGAAAAUAUAAGUGUGGGACCCACAUUUGAUCGAAAUGACCUUGGAUGAAAAAUACGACUUCGUCAGCAGAUCCGGAAUGUAGAUUUUAGGAUGUUAGCAUAUUUGGUAUGAUCUUACGGUUUUUAAAUCUCAUUUUGACCCUCGAUUUGGAAAAUUAUGAUUUCGGAUUUCGGGGGUCAACUUUAUGAAAAUAACAUUUUGUUAAAAAUUUGAUAUCACCAUCGCGUCUAAAGCGUCGAAUUUAGUAUGUUUGCAUAGUUCGUUUGUGUAUAUCGGACUCCGAGCGAAUCCCGAAUACCCCAUUGAAAUUCGGGGUGAAUUUGAAGUGAAAAAUCUGGUGCAAUACGAGAUUUCUCUGCAUAUAAAUACCUCUUUUUGGCUCUUUUUGUUCAUUUUUCAUCUUGCUUCUUGGGUAGGGCUGCAUAUUGGUUGGUUCGAUUUUGAAAAUUAUCGAUUUUACUUAUUCAUUAUCGGUUUGUAUAUAUGCUAAACCGUUAAAGAACCAUUAAGAUAUCGGUUAAUCGGUUAUCGAUUUAUCAGUUUUUAGUUGUUGAUUCGGUUAUCGGGUUAACCGUUAACAUUGAACACACAUAAUUUAAAGUCCAAAGCAACUGCAGACUGCCUACUGCUUAGUGCUCUUUCUAUGCACAAAGCCGCAAACUGCACUUAUUGCUCUUUCUGUGCACAAGCCAAACAUUCAAAAUUGUCCAGCACAAAUAAAAUACAAAAUAUUCCAAAUAGUCACACAAUUUGAAACUGUCUACUGGUCUAGCACAAAUAGAAUAGUAAAAAAUCCAAAGUAACAGUAUAAUUAAUCAUGUUUAGCUAAACUCACAGAAAUUCACACAAUCCAUACUACAAAAGUAAAAAAAACAGCAAACCCAUUACAUCAAAAUCAAAUAUUGCUCACAAAUAACUGAUAAAAGUCGACGAGCACCACAAAUAACACAUACACAAUGAAUUACAUAAACUAAAUAGAGAAUAGCAGUUGGGUCUAUGCAAAUGAAAUCGUUCCUUUUCUUGUUUAUUACCCUUUUUAUUUCCAUUGACAUCAGACUAAAAAAGUAAAAGAAACAACAAAGCAGUAUUAAUGUAAGAUGAAUUUAGUAGACAGGAACAAAUAAAAAAACUGAAAGUCUGAAACUACGUAUAAAAGCACACAAGCAUCAAAUGUUUAAUUAUAGGAAACUAAUGCAUCUUGGUGAAUAUAGUCGACUACAUGGUCACAUUUACUUCAUAACUAAGUAAAUUUAACAACAUAGAAUCAACUGAGUAAUUUGUAAGUGUAGCUCUGCAAAUUUAUAGGAAUUUAGGAAAUAACAGUCAAACAACUAUCUUUUUAGAUUUGGAUAAACAAUGAAUCCUAAAAAUAUUAAAUUGUGCUUGAAAAGUUCUCUUCAUAUUACAUACAGUCCAAUCAUAGCUAAGCUCUCGAGUAUGGUAUGAUAAAUUCUAAAUUAUUGGGCUGUAAAAAAUGUUUACUUUUGCUAUCUAGGAAUCUUUAUUAAGGAAACAUAUUGAGAUAAAAAUUUACAAUCAUUUGAUUAAAUUUCUAUUUGCAUGACUUCUACAACUCAAAAAACGUAUACGAUUAUUCAAUUCAUUUCUUCAUAUUCAGAACCUCCUUAGUAAAAAUUAAGGCUCCGCGCUAAGCCGCUACCUCAAGAAAUUAUUCAAAUACAUCAAACCAUCAGACAUUCAGAACAAUCAAAUAGUACAAAAUCAAUAACAUUUAGCAAAAUUCACCAAAAUUCAUACAACCCAACCCAUACUAAAAAACUGAAAGAAGCCAACAAUAGCUAUUCAAGAGGCAAUACCGAUGACAAGAUCGAGAUUAGAUAGAAAGUGAAGAUGAAGUAGAAUACUAUCAAAAAUAACAGAAAUUGAACAUGUAAAUGAGAUGGAGAAAAAGGGUUACCUGAAAUUUUUGACCUUCGAAUUCGAUCUUCAAUUCUUCUGGGAGUAGACUCCAAGUCGAAUUUUUGGCUCAAUUCGAAGUUCUAUCUUCGGCACAAGUUCGAUCUUGUCAGCAACAGUAAUUUUUCAUGACUGAGAGAGAGAGAGAGAGUGAGAGACUGAGAGUGAGAGGCGUGAUUGUGAAGAGGACCUAAUAGAGUAAUAC
rnacentral:lncRNA from 1 species